CAAUAUCAGUAAAAUCCAAUCCAACCUAAGAAUAAUAAACUGAAAAAAUAAAAAGGCUAAAACCCAAUUUGGGGAAGACCGGGACUGAAUUUUUUUUUUAUAGAUUUUUACCAAAUUGGAUUUGCAGGAAACUAAAUCCCUUUCCUUUUCCAUAAUUACAGAUCUCCAAUGACGAUUACUUAUCGAAAUCUUCUCAUGCCUUCCUUAAAUCUUCUCGCGUCUUCCUUUCGUCGUGACGACAUUGACUAAGACGAAUUUCUGGUGUUUAGUGUCGAAUUUUCAUUUAAAACGUCCAUGGAAGAUUCAUACAGAUCAUUCACAUCGUUAACUUCAAAAUACGAGGCAAAUUUAGGUUCCGACACCGCCCAAAUAACCUCCGACACUAAUCUCCCAUGGCAGAUCUGAAUUUUGGGAUGAAGAUGAAGAUCUGGGUUUGGAUUCUUGGUUCUUCCUCUACUCAUGAUAGUUUCUUUCUCUACUAAUGAGAUUUCUGAAAUUCUGAGUUUGGGUUUGGGUUUGGGUUUGGGUUUGAGUUUUUGGUUCUUCCUCUUAGAGAGAAAAUGAAGUGAGUUUGAGAUUGGACAAAAUUUUGAAGAUGAUAAACUUAUUGGGGUUUUUAGUUUGAGAUUUCGAGCUUCAUGAAUGGUUACAAGGGAAGAGGAUGAAUGAUUUGAAUAUUUUGGAUUUUAAAAUUUUUGGUGAGUUUCAUGGUAAUGGAG
rnacentral:lncRNA from 1 species